CGAACGCUGGCGGCGUGCUUAACACAUGCAAGUCGAACGGAAAGGCCCUGCUUUUGUGGGGUGCUCGAGUGGCGAACGGGUGAGUAACACGUGAGUAACCUGCCCUUGACUUUGGGAUAACUUCAGGAAACUGGGGCUAAUACCGGAUAGGAGCUCCUGCUGCAUGGUGGGGGUUGGAAAGUUUCGGCGGUUGGGGAUGGACUCGCGGCUUAUCAGCUUGUUGGUGGGGUAGUGGCUUACCAAGGCUUUGACGGGUAGCCGGCCUGAGAGGGUGACCGGCCACAUUGGGACUGAGAUACGGCCCAGACUCCUACGGGAGGCAGCAGUGGGGAAUAUUGCACAAUGGGCGGAAGCCUGAUGCAGCAACGCCGCGUGUGGGAUGACGGCCUUCGGGUUGUAAACCGCUUUCGCCUGUGACGAAGCGUGAGUGACGGUAAUGGGUAAAGAAGCACCGGCUAACUACGUG
rnacentral:rRNA from 1 species